CACCAAGUCGACGAUCAGUAGCCGGACUGAGAGGUUGACCAGCCACACUGGAACUGAGACACGGUCCAGACUCCUACGGGAGGCAGCAGUGGGGAAUAUUGCACAAUGGGGGAAACCCUGAUGCAGCAACGCCGCGUGAGUGAUGACGGCCUUCGGGUUGUAAAGCUCUGUCUUCAGGGACGAUAAUGACGGUACCUGAGGAGGAAGCCACGGCUAACUAC
rnacentral:rRNA from 1 species